CCUGUUCAAAAUUUUGGCAACACACUGUACGAGUGAAAUUGAAGUACUAUUUUACAAUUUUGAAGUACUAAAUUCUACCACGUUCUAUUAGCGCAUUUUAAUAACAGAGCAGAUACCUCCAUUUUUUGUUUAGCUAGUUGUAUUGUGAUAGAGAAUGUUUGUCGAGUAAAUAUGUCGAAUAAUUUAAAUCUAAAAUCGCAAAUAACCAAAUUUAACAAUAUUUUUGUAUAACUAUUUUUUUUUAUACACAGUUGUGUAGGAUAUUAAAUUUAAAGGCGAAUAUUCUUUUAGAUUAUAAAAUGUUGGUAACUCUAUAUUUUUAACUUCUCACGAAGUUUUCUAUAC